rnacentral:rRNA from 1 species
UACGUAGGUGGCAAGCGUUAUCCGGAUUUACUGGGUGUAAAGGGCGUGUAGGCGGGAAAGCAAGUCAGAUGUGAAAACUAUGGGCUCAACCCAUAGCCUGCAUUUGAAACUGUUUUUCUUGAGUGUCGGAGAGGCAAUCGGAAUUCCGUGUGUAGCGGUGAAAUGCGUAGAUAUACGGAGGAACACCAGUGGCGAAGGCGGAUUGCUGGACGAUAACUGACGCUGAGGCGCGAAAGCGUGGGGAGCAAAC